GCUUACGGCCCAUACCAACCUGGCUAUGCCCGAUCCGUCUGAUCUCGGAAGCUAAGCAUGUUUGGGCUGGUUAGUACUUGGAUGGGAGACCGCCUGGGAAUACCAGGUGCUGUAAGCU
rnacentral:rRNA from 1 species